CUCCUGUUUCCCUGCAGCGCAGCCCCCGGAGGCGGGAGGGGGGCAUCCCCUAGGGACACUGCUCUCUGUGGCUUCCCCUCCACACCUCGCGGGGGGGGGGGUGUAGCGGGAGGCCGUUAGACGGCGGGGCAGGGCUGGCCCCGCUUAUGUAAUAACAGGCAACCCCAGGGAGAGGCGCAGAGCCUCACCGAGGAGAACACGGACGAGAGCCCUGCCCUCCGUGAGCCCCCCAGGGCUGCCCAGGAUGGAGGUGCCCUGAGAAGGCCCCCCCCAGCUUGCAGUACGGACCACGCUCGGCUGCCCCAGCACCUCGGGGUCCUCCGGGAAGGAGCCACCGUGAGGGAGACGGGGAAAAGAGUGAGAGCCCCACACGCCCCCCGGCUGGGGAUCCCAGGCAGAAUUUCCCUACCACGGCCGGUUUUGGGGUGGCCCUUCUGGAGCAGACGCUGGGCAGGGCCUGGGCCGGCAAGAUGCCCCCUUGCCCUCCCCAGCAGGGCCGGACCCGGACAUCACUCCUGCCCGCACCACCGCUGAGUGAGCCUGGCCAGCAGGGAGAGAUGGAGCUGACCUGGCAGGAGAUCAUGUCCAUCGCGGAGCUGCAGGUGAGCCCCGAAUGGAGCCUCUGCUUCCCUCCCCCAGCCAGGCCGCCUUUGGAUCCCAGGCUCCUU
rnacentral:lncRNA from 1 species